UGCUGAGACUCUCAUCCAUAACCAUCCUCUACAAUUAGAUGAGCCGGAGAAAAUGGAAUAACGGAUUUUGGUUAAAUUUAGUAACAACUUGGCACAUAAAGCAGCCACUCACAAGCCAUUGUGUACCCUACAACAGAGUUAUGUCAAGGCUCAAAAGUGGACCAGGAGAGACCAGGCCGGCGACCACUUCAAGACCACUUCUCAGUCUAAAAAUUUGCAAUGAAAGAUUGGCCGGUGGGCAGUGGUGACCGGAAUCUGUUUGGUAAAAGUUAGGAAGGUAUGGAAGGGGACAGACGGACUCCUGAUGGAGAGAGCAAGUCAUUAUCAUCCCAGCUCACUGCGAUGGUCGACUAAGCAAAGGAUAGACACAGAGAAGUAGGGCUGGGAAAGGGUAGCUUCACUUACUAGAGAGGGAAAGGUCCUAAGGAUCGGCUCCAAUAUCCAAUCUGGGUGGAAAUAUUUCACCAGCAAGAUAGCCUCGUACACUCAUGUAAGUGUCCUACAGAAUGAUUUGGGAUGGAACGGCAGAAAUCUUCCUGACAGAUAGGUGAGCAGGCCAUCUAUCGCUCCGUUGUCGUUGCAGCAUUCACAGAGAUAGGAUACGAGGAUCGGUCUUCGGCAGAUAAAACCUCGAGCCUCGUCUUCAAAGUGCGAUUUGAAUGUGAAAUCUACUUGAUAACAGUUGCAGGUGCAACCGCGUCGCAGGAAUUAGCUCGUCUUUGAAGCAUCCUGGCGUACCUAGCAAGAUCUUAAUUCAUGUGCGCGUAGUGGUGGAAACAGUUUCUUAUAGUGGAGCUGGGUGCUUAUGCAUCAAGCGACCUAUCUCUGAAGUGCUGAAAGAGCCAGUUCGAAGCAUCGAAAGAGUAAAAACUCAAGUCGUUUGAGCACCUCCAACCUUGAGUUUCUUUUGAAUAGCGUCUCUUUUGUCCCCUGGGCCUCCCGCACUUCGUAUCAUAGAUCUGCCUCCGAUCCGACUUCUCCCUGUUAGAACAUGGAUGUAGUGUCUUUCAUGUGGUGCACUACAAGGGCGACCUGAGUGUAAAUCUGCGAAGUUAUCAAUCAUCUACCUACUUACAACUUAGGACGUUGUACCACACUUGUACUAAAAGUAUGCGUACCACUGAAGAGGUCGAUUAGGGCUUUUGAGGAAUCAGUUCUUCCUUUGAACGUCGAAGUGAGCCUGCGGACUGACGUAUCUGAUCUGGUUGAACCUAUCGGGAUCAACAUCUCAUCUGAUCUGUACUAGUUUGGGGAUGCGACGGCAAACGACACUAGGAAAACGGUACUAACCAUCACCCAUCUGGACGUAUGUCGACCAGUACGGCAGUAGUUCGGGACGCGCCUGCUCUGCGAUCACGCCGUAACAAGCUUUGGCGUCAUGCUCAAAGAGGUUAAGUCAAGGACAGGAUUGGCUCAAGGUAGCAGAUCUGUAACAGUGUCUGCAACCCUGGCCCUCAUGUACGUGGUAUCCUAGACUGAUCCUUCAGAACCUCACUCUCAUAUUCAUAUUUCUAUUGAGAUGGACGAACUUGACGAUCACUUUGCCUUUCUAAUGAAUGAACAGAAAUCUCCUCUAGCCAACGACCAAGGACCGCAUGCAUUAAAACUCAAAAUAAGCAUGAUGUAAUGCCAUCAUUCUAUGUUCCUCAAUCCCGUGUGCUGACCACUUUAUUAAGCGGGUGGAAGCUGAUCAGGUAAGGAAUCUGAUUGAGAGAUUCUUUUGCUAUGUUGAACAAUGGAUUUUCAUACAGAUGGUAACAUUAUUGAGCUCUCCAUUCGGAAAACCAUGUUAACCUCGACCUCUACCCUUGUUUGUUGCUCCAGAAAGCGAUUCGGUGUUUGCUCUUAUCAAUGUCAUGCAUUUGUGCUCGAUGAAACAUUCAUGAUUCUGUGCUUUGUUCUCGAUGGAACAUUUAUGAUUCUGUGCUUUGUUCUCUAUUCAGUACACAGUGUUCAGUUCAAGUGAUAGUGUGGCCUUUCGAAAAGUAUGAUUGAGGAUGAUAUAUUGUGACCGCGCUUUGGCGUUUCACAAUGUUUCAGAGGCAACGCUGCAUCAUUUUAAGUGGUUUUCCCUCAUCUUUGAGCAGUUACUGCAAGUGCCCACAUGGGUUUGGGUGGGACUACAUUGGAAUACAUUAAACAUGCGAUUACUACAUGUGAAGAGUCACUUGUGCCUAGGACGUACAUUGUUUCGUCUUUAUUCACCUCUGAUACCCCCAAAAUACUCUGGUCGUUCAUUUGUUGUAGACAAUUGCACCAACGAGGACAAGACAAUCGUUGAAGCGUCAAUUUGAAAGGUAAAAGAGUCUGCAGAAAUCAAUGGGGGAAACUGGCACUGCCUGGCUCCCUGUAUGCCACUUGCGAAUUUUGGCAAAACUUGUGGCAGGGUACGUAGCUGCCAUACAGGGAGUCAGACAGACCUUGCAUCUUCCCGGAUUCUCAUGAAGCUCUUUACCAUGUUCUCAUUUAUCAAGGUACUGUACAUGCUACUUCCGUAAUGAUAAUUAUGUGAAAUGAAAUAUUCUUUGUUAGAUCAGUUGAUAGUUUCCAAUCAAAAUAUGAAUCUGUGUCAAGCUAUCGAUAACCUUGACAAUUAACAGAACACUCCGAUUUCUCCAAUAUAAGAGGACUUUCCAGUGGGUGGUAAUUAAAUCAUGUGAUAUAUUGAAACUUAAGUUUCUACCGAAAUAUACGCAUGGCAGAAAGCUCACACCAGCACUAACCAAGCUGGUUACAUAACCUCAGACUUUCUGGUGCUGGAAUCUGAUCUUCACAAGCCUGCUCAGGUCGAUCGAUAUUAACAUGGUUAUAUAGAUGAGUGACGAGAUAAGGGAAUACCAUGGAACUUGUCGAGGAUGUCGUAGUUUGUAAGAUGUUUCGAAUUUAUUUCCUAGUACUCCAUUAUUAAGCUGUAGGUAGCAUCAUAUGCCUAUUAAAGCUCUGUAGGCUGUUUGACUAUUUGUACUGUCUGUAAUGUUAUUGCUAGUUGACAAGUUAUGGACGACUAGAGCAUUAUUUUACCUCCUGUUCAGAAUCCGCACUCAUGCAGAAAAUUUUGGGUCAAUAUUGUACACAAACCAGGCUGCACACCAAUAUUUCAGAAUGGGGUUGUUGAUCGAGACUACACACAACUACCUACAUGACGAAUUUUUGGCAAUGCAUCGAAGUUUACAUUCUGUCUACGUUGUGGAGAAGACUGGUUCUGCAUGGACCCAUUGGCUGGCUGGAGCUGAUCAUUGAAUGAAAUAAUCUACCAGGAGAGGACGAUCUUACAGUUCGAAGCUGCACCAAAAUGUUGUAGUUGCAAUCUAUAUGUGGUUGAUACCACUGGGAUAAUUUAUUUGUGAAUACCUAGUUUCUUUUAUUGGCUAGGAGCGUGUUGAAGGUUAUUUUGGUUUAAGAAGUGCCUUAGAUUGACUUGCUCAAAACGACCCGACUUCAGGUUGGGGUUUAGGUCUAGUAUUCACAAUGUGGAUUCGUUCCAACCCUCACUAAAAAUGCUGCACUGUUGUGCGGAUGGAUUGUGCAAUUCGUUCGCAUACACUAUAAUAAAUACGUUAAGGGCUUCUGCAUA